GCUAACGCAUUAAGUGCCCCGCCUGGGGAGUACGGCCGCAAGGCUAAAACUCAAAGGAAUUGACGGGGGCCCGCACAAGCGGCGGAGCAUGCGGAUUAAUUCGAUGCAACGCGAAGAACCUUACCAAGGCUUGACAUGAACCGGUAAUACCUGGAAACAGGUGCCCCGCUUGCGGUCGGUUUACAGGUGGUGCAUGGUUGUCGUCAGCUCGUGUCGUGAGAUGUUGGGUUAAGUCCCGCAACGAGCGCAACCCUCGUUCUAUGUUGCCAGCACGUGAUGGUGGGGACUCAUAGGAGACUGCCGGGGUCAACUCGGAGGAAGGUGGGGACGACGUCAAAUCAUCAUGCCCCUUAUGUCUUGGGCUUCACGCAUGCUACAAUGGCCGGUACAAAGGGUUGCGAUACUGUGAGGUGGAGCUAAUCCCAAAAAGCCGGUCUCAGUUCGGAUUGGGGUCUGCAACUCGACCCCAUGAAGUCGGAGUCGCUAGUAAUCGCAGAUCAGCAACGCUGCGGUGAAUACGUUCCCGGGCCUUGUACACACCGCCCGUCAAGUCACGAAAGUUGGUAACACCCGAAGCCGGUGGCCUAACCCCUUUGUGGGAGGGAGCUGUCGAAGGUGGGACUGGCGAUUGGGACUAAGUCGUAACAAGGUAGCCGUACCGGAAGGUGCGGCU
rnacentral:rRNA from 1 species